ensembl:lncRNA
AUGUGCCCCUUCAACAAGGAAGCACACUGCUGUCUUUGGGGAUCACUUCCUUCCCUGCUAAGGUCACAGAACGAAUUCUCCAUGCUGUGGCCAGAGUCUGGGCUUUCCCUGAUGGCCAAAGGCCGGCCUAUGGCAGGAACUCUGGAAUCCCUGCUGGCUCCCCUUCCCUCAACCUCCUCCCGACAGGAAUUCCAGGCCUAUUUCCCAUGGGGCUGCGCAGGGCCAGCUGCUGUGACCAGGACUCAGUCAGAAUCCCCUUCCGCAUCGUGGCUGCCCGCGGGUGGCAGAACUCCCACACCGCCCUUUUGUACUGAUGCGUGUCCUCCGUCCACGCUCCCGGGCACACAGGUCCCGUUCUUGCGAGUGAGCCAUUUCGGGUCCCACGCACGGCGCAGCUCGCGGAGCCUGUGCGCAGGUGCGCUCCCCCACCCCCGCAGAUCCAGCAGCGUCCCCCCCGCGCACUCACACACGGUCGCGCACACUCACGGUCACGCGCCCCGCAGGUGGAGCGGCCCCCCGCGGGCCCGCGGUGCCCCCCGCGCCCCUGCCGGGGUCGUACCUCUGCGGCGGGCUGUGCAGGGGCGCAGCGCCGGUCCAUGGAGCCCGAAGGCCGGCCUCCGCGGCCCACUCCAGCUCCCCGCCCCGCCGCGGCGACAGCGGCAGGUUCGAGUUCACAACUGCCAGGCCCGUCCCCAACCUCCCCCCGCCGGGUUCCCAGCGCCACGUGACUACAGGAGCUGCCGAGGGUCAGUCGCCGGCUCCCGCGGCCGCGGCCUGGGGGCGGGGAGGGACGGCCGGGGCCCGGGCGCGGGCCCCCACCUAGAGCGGGCCGGGUCACCCCCGCCGCUGCUGCACCAGGGCGGCGGAUCUCGGAGGGCCCGAUUCCGUUGCCAUGGCGACCACCAGCCCGGGUCUCUCCGGGACUGGCCGGAGCUCAAGUUUCCCGACCCUUUGUCCCUGCGGAGCACGCGCGUCCCCGGGCGACCGCGUGGCUGGCCUGUGGUCACCGGGGCUGGUCGGUCUUGGCUGGCUUAUGAGAGGCUCGGAACCCGUCGGGAGACUUCAAAGAGGGCUCUGGCCGCCCCCGGAGCGUCUUGCCCCGGGCCUUUCUCAGGCCGCGCACUCCCGCCGCAGUGCGGACGCUUGCGGGAGCGGCGGUCCCGGGACGGCGGUAGCGCAUCUGGAAGUCCCUAG